rnacentral:lncRNA from 1 species
GGAGUGUAUAGUGGGCUGUGCUGGGCACAGCCUAUUGGACCCCUGUGUUAGACAACUGACCUUUUAUUUUAAAGGUUUAAUGGCUACAGCCUGGACAGGUGGGAGUGGGGAAUUUAAGUUAAUCCUUCAAAUAGGGGCUAGCACAAGUGCCAUCAUUCCUCUCUUCAUGCCAUUGUCUGUGUCCAUCACAGGCAUUGCUAAUCAACCACAGCAUCAUCCUCAUGCUACAAUCGAAGAAACAGAAAGGGAUGGAAAUGUGGGCCCAGGACCCACCAAGUUAGGAAGCAAUGGAGCCAGGCCUGGUGUCCGCAACCAGACAGAUGCGACGAGCUUGAGGUUCAGACAAACACGGAUGAGCCAAGAAACAUCGUCUGUCCUUUUGGCAGUGAACGGCAAUGAAGAAAAGCGGCUGCAAUGACCAGGGUCUGACCUGGUGUCAUCAAGAUAAUUACUGUCAUUUGUGGGUCUGUGGUGCCAAGGGAAUUCUCCUGGGACCUUACCAGUAUUGAUAUGUGACCAGCCAGGAAGCUGCCUGGAGCCCCAUCUGUAGGAAAUACAAGAAUCCCACUGGAAAUUUAAUGUGAUGAACAUUUAAUGGAGUUGCUUUCAGGACAAGUCCUGUGAUUUUUCGGAGAUUUGGGGUAGGUUGUUUGGGAUGCUGGAUGGCCUCUCAGUGUGUGCCGAGAACACAGAUGGUCCCUAGACAGGGUGGAGACACCUCUCUGAUGAGCUUUCAGUUUACUGGGUAGUUUUGGGGCCAGAACUGAAUGGUUCAGGGCAUUGGAGGAAAGGCUGAGGAUCACCAUCCCAGGUCCUCUCUAAUUUCCUCUGAAUUCAGGAAGAACUAGUUUUUAAGGAGUACCUAAUGAUUUGCCAACCUGGGGUCAGCUCUAUUUGGUACCUGCCAGGGCAGCGCAGGCCUUGGGCUUCAAGGUACAGCUGCUGUGGGCGUCAUAGAGGGCUCUCCAUGGAAACCUGGGGACCCCCUCUCCAUGUGGUACAGUGGCCUUUUUGUCAUGAGUCUGGGCAGGAGCAGGAAGGCUGGAAAGAGAGAAAAGUGGGAGGCACUGGGCAUGUGACUCUCCUGCUUUUGUGUCGUUCGUGAGCGUGGCCAGUCCCAGCCUAUAUCAGGCAGAUGGUACAGGAAUUUCCCAACUGUAUGCCCAGCUGUAGGGUCUGAUCCAGUCACACUGAGAGGAAGAGGGACCCCAGCAGGCAUUCAGGGAACCCAGGAAGGGAGUG